GUAGGUGGCAAGCGUUAUCCGGAAUUAUUGGGCGUAAAGCGCGCGUAGGCGGUUUUUUAAGUCUGAUGUGAAAGCCCACGGCUCAACCUUGGAGGGUCAUUGGAAACUGGAAAACUUGAGUGCAGAAGAGGAAAGUGGAAUUCCAUGUGUAGCGGUGAAAUGCGCAGAGAUAUGGAGGAACACCAGUGGCGAAGGCGACUUUCUGGUCUGUAACUGACGCUGAUGUGCGAAAGCGUGGGGGAUCAAACAGGAUUAGAUACCCUGGUAGUCCACGCCGUAAACGAUGAGUGCUAAGUGUUAGGGGGUUUCCGCCCCUUAGUGCUGCAGCUAACGCAUUAAGCACUCCGCCUGGGAGUACGACCGCAAGGUUG
rnacentral:rRNA from 1 species